CCCUUAGAUGUCCUGGGCCGCACGCGCGCUACACUGAUGCAUUCAACGAGUUCUACCUUGGCCGAGAGGCCUGGGCAAUCUUUUGAACCUGCAUCGUGAUAGGGAUAGAUUAUUGCAAUUAUUAAUCUUGAACGAGGAAUUCCUAGUAAACGCAGAUCAUCAAUCUGCAUUGAUUACGUCCCUGCCCUUUGUACACACCGCCCGUCGCACCUACCGAUUGAAUGGUCCGGUGAAGCCUCGGGAUUGUGGCGAGUUCCCUUUAUUGGGAGUUUGUCGCGAGAACUUGUCUAAACCUUAUCAUUUAGAGGAAGGCGAAGUCGUANCA
rnacentral:rRNA from 1 species